rnacentral:rRNA from 1 species
GUCGAGCGGACAGAUGGGAGCUUGCUCCCUGAUGUUAGCGGCGGACGGGUGAGUAACACGUGGGUAACCUGCCUGUAAGACUGGGAUAACUCCGGGAAACCGGGGCUAAUACCGGAUGGUUGUUUGAACCGCAUGGUUCAGACAUAAAAGGUGGCUUCGGCUACCACUUACAGAUGGACCCGCGGCGCAUUAGCUAGUUGGUGAGGUAACGGCUCACCAAGGCGACGAUGCGUAGCCGACCUGAGAGGGUGAUCGGCCACACUGGGACUGAGACACGGCCCAGACUCCUACGGGAGGCAGCAGUAGGGAAUCUUCCGCAAUGGACGAAAGUCUGACGGAGCAACGCCGCGUGAGUGAUGAAGGUUUUCGGAUCGUAAAGCUCUGUUGUUAGGGAAGAACAAGUGCCGUUCAAAUAGGGCGGCACCUUGACGGUACCUAACCAGAAAGCCACGGCUAACUACGUGCCAGCAGCCGCGGUAAUACGUAGGUGGCAAGCGUUGUCCGGAAUUAUUGGGCGUAAAGGGCUCGCAGGCGGUUUCUUAAGUCUGAUGUGAAAGCCCCCGGCUCAACCGGGGAGGGUCAUUGGAAACUGGGGAACUUGAGUGCAGAAGAGGAGAGUGGAAUUCCACGUGUAGCGGUGAAAUGCGUAGAGAUGUGGAGGAACACCAGUGGCGAAGGCGACUCUCUGGUCUGUAACUGACGCUGAGGAGCGAAAGCGUGGGGAGCGAACAGGAUUAGAUACCCUGGUAGUCCACGCCGUAAACGAUGAGUGCUAAGUGUUUAGGGGGUUUCCGCCCCUUAGUGCUGCAGCUAACGCAUUAAGCACUCCGCCUGGGGAGUACGGUCGCAAGACUGAAACUCAAAGGAAUUGACGGGGGCCCGCACAAGCGGUGCAGCAUGUGGUUUAAUUCGAAGCAACGCGAAGAACCUUACCAGGUCUUGACAUCCUCUGACAAUCCUAGAGAUAGGACGUCCCCUUCGGGGGCAGAGUGACAGGUGGUGCAUGGUUGUCGUCAGCUCGUGUCGUGAGAUGUUGGGUUAAGUCCCGCAACGAGCGCAACCCUUGAUCUUAGUUGCCAGCAUUCAGUUGGGCACUCUAAGGUGACUGCCGGUGACAAACCGGAGGAAGGUGGGGAUGACGUCAAAUCAUCAUGCCCCUUAUGACCUGGGCUACACACGUGCUACAAUGGACAGAACAAAGGGCAGCGAAACCGCGAGGUUAAGCCAAUCCCACAAAUCUGUUCUCAGUUCGGAUCGCAGUCUGCAACUCGACUGCGUGAAGCUGGAAUCGCUAGUAAUCGCGGAUCAGCAUGCCGCGGUGAAUACGUUCCCGGGCCUUGUACACACCGCCCGUCACACCACGAGAGUUUGUAACACCCGAAGUCGGUGAGGUAACCUUUAUGGAGC